AUCUGGUUGAUCCUGCCAGUAAUCAUAUGCUUGUCUCAAAGAUUAAGCCAUGCAUGUCUUAGUACAAGCCGCGCUAGCGGCGAGACUGCGAACGGCUCAUUAAAUCGGUUACGAUCCGCAGGGGACGGAAUCCACACGUGGAUAACGUGCGGUAACUCCGGUGCUAAUACAUGCAACAGGGCCCCGACGCGCGGCUUCGCGGCCGCGCGGAAGGGCGCACUUAUUAGACCCGAAACCAAUCGCUCGUCCCUCACGGGGCUUGCGCUGGUGGACGACACCCGAGUAAUGACACCGCCGAUCGCACGGCCUUGCGCCGGCGACGCCUCUGUACGAGUUUCUGAUCUAUCAUGCUGUCGACGGUUAGCGCCUGGCUAACCGUGGCGUUGACGGAUAACAGAGAAUCUGGGUUCGAUUCUGGAGAGGCCGCACGAGAAACGGCGACCACUUCCAAGGAAGGCAGCAGGCGCGCAAAUUACCCACUUCGGACACCGAGAGGUAGUGACGUUAAAUACCGAUGCGGCGCGCUUACGCGUCGCCGUAAUCGGAAUGAGUACACUUCAAAUCCUUUAACGAGGAUCCACUCGAGGGCAAGCCUGGUGCCAGCAGCCGCGGUAAUUCCAGCUCGAGCAGUGUAUAUUUAUACUGCUGCGUUUAAAAAGCUCGUAGUUGAAGCGUCAGGCGCGCGAAGACGGACGGCCGCACCGGUCUGUCUCGUCCGACCGCGUCAGGCGCGGAAGGCGUCCGUCGGUUGCACUUCACCGUGUGACCGCGGCGCCGCUGCACGUUCACCUUGAGGAAAUUGAACCGCUCAAAGGAGGCGUCGCAGCUUGUACAGCUCAGCAUGGUAUGAUGAAAGAUGGGCUCGUUCUCGCUUUGUUGGUUUUCGAGACGGCGAGCCAAUGAUUAACAGGGACUGCCGGGGGCAUUCGUACUCGGAGGGGAGAGGUGAAAUUCAGAGAUCCUCCGAAGACGCCCAACUGCGAAAGCAUUUGCCAAGAAUGUUUUCAUUAAUCAAGAACGAAAGUCAGAGGCGCGAAGGCGAUCAGAUACCGCCGUAGUUCUGACCGUAAACAAUGCCACCUGGCAUUUGAAGGCCCUUCUGCUGAAGUGGCCGCCAGGAGCUCCCGGAGCCUGAGAAAUCUUAAGGGAUUGGGCUCCGGGGGGAGUAUGGUUGCAAAGCUGAAACUUAAAGGAAUUGACGGAAGGGCACCACCAGGAGUGGAGCCUGCGGCUUAAUUUGACUCAACACGGGGAACCUCACCCGGCCCGAACACUGUUAUGACAGACAGGUCGAGAGCUCUUUCUCGAUUCAGUGGUUGGUGGUGCAUGGCCGUUCUUAGUUCGUGGAGUGAUCUGUCUGGUUAAUUCCGAUAACGAACGAGACUCUCGCCUGCUAAAUAGCCGGCGUCGACACUCGUGUCGGCGACCGUCAAAGCUUCUUAGAGGGACAAGCGGCUUAUAGCCGCACGAAGCGGAGAGCAAUAACAGGUCAGUGAUGCCCUCAGAUGUUCGGGGCCGCACGCGCGCUACACUGUUUGCAUCAGCGUGUCUUACCCUCGCCUGCCGGCGUGGGCAAUCCGUUGAACCGCAAACGUGCUAGGGCUCGGAGAUUGCAAUUAUUCUCCGUAAACGAGGAAUUCCUUGUACUUGCGAGUCAUAAGCUUGCGGGGAAUCCGUCCCUGCCCUUUGUACACACCGCCCGUCGCUACUACCGAUUGAGUGGUUUAGUGAGGCUCACGGACUGCUGGCGCGCGCCCUUGCGGCGCCAAUGCCGGCGGAAAGUGAGACGAACUUGAUCACUUCUAGGAAGUAAAAGUCGUAACAAGGUUUUCGUAGGUGAACCUGCGUAAGGAUCA
rnacentral:rRNA from 1 species